AACGAACGCUGGCGGCAGGCCUAACACAUGCAAGUCGAGCGGGCGAGGUUGCUUCGGUAACUGAGCUAGCGGCGGACGGGUGAGUAAAGCUUAGGAAUCUGCCUAUUAGUGGGGGACAACAUUCCGAAAGGGAUGCUAAUACCGCAUACGUCCUACGGGAGAAAGCAGGGGAUCACUGGUGACCUUGCGCUAAUAGAUGAGCCUAAGUCGGAUUAGCUAGUUGGUGGGGUAAAGGCCUACCAAGGCGACGAUCUGUAGCGGGUCUGAGAGGAUGAUCCGCCACACUGGGACUGAGACACGGCCCAGACUCCUACGGGAGGCAGCAGUGGGGAAUAUUGGACAAUGGGGGGAACCCUGAUCCAGCCAUGCCGCGUGUGUGAAGAAGGCCUUCGGGUUGUAAACCGCUUUUGGCAGGAACGAAACGGCGCAAGCCAAUACCUUGCGCUAAUGACGGUACCUGCAGAAUAAGCACCGGCUAACUACGUGCCAGCCGCCGCGGUAAUAC
rnacentral:rRNA from 1 species